rnacentral:snRNA from 1 species
AGAUGUAGGGGUGAUCUGGCUGUGAAAUCCGUAACCUCAUUGAUGGCCAGGGUGUAUUUGUCUGAUCUGGCUGGUUGGGUGGGUGUCCCCUUCUUCCCUCACUGCUAUAUGACUCCCUCCCAGAGCUGUGCACUAGGUCAAAGAGAAUGAAUUCCCUGAUAGAGAUGCACAUUCAUCAGUCAACAGCAUACAGUAACUGUGCUCCCCUGCUAGAACCUCCAAGCAAGUUCUGUAAUUCUGUGAGAUAAAUCUUUUCUGAAUAGAUGGAAGAGUUGAAAUUCCUCCUGAGAAAACUGAUUCAGUGCAGUUGCUUCCUGAAUU